GCAUGGAUGAAUUCUGUUUUACUUCCACAUAGUAAACACAGUCAGACACCAUGCUAAAGUAAACUUCAUACUGACUUUUCUGCAGAACAAGGACUCAUGCGCCUUGUUGUUUUGUUGAUAUGAAAACAAAA
ensembl:snoRNA Small nucleolar RNA SNORA15